UCACCAAAAAAUGGUACUGAGGUGUUUUUCUCACGAGAAACUUAUGAAAAAUACUCACUGGCUCCAAGCUUCUCUGAGCUAUGGACUUUGUCAAACAGACAGGCAAAGAAAAGCGUAAAGGUGUUGGCAAACACUUCAGAAGACAAGCAGACUUGUAACGUGCAGGCUGCAGAUCCAGUUGAGGUGAAGGCUAAAACUGCAAGUGAUGAUCAACCUUUUCCAGAACCUAGACUCCCCUAUCCGUUUACCUCUUGUCUGAGUGGGAAGGAGCAAAAGACAUAUUUAUAUCUGAUGACUAAAUACUCUAGAAAACCAAACCAUUUCCAAGUUAAUGCAGCAAGUCAAAGAGAGCUAUUCACAUAUAUGCAAAUGAAAGAAUCGGUAAACAAUGAAAUUGCAGAAUUUAUGAAAUUUGCUCAAAAUGCCGCAAAAAGCUGCGCCCAGGACUAUGAUACCCUCUCUGAAGACGCACGACUUUAUACUGAGAAGUUAUUAAGUGCUUGUAUUGGACAUGUACAAAAGUAUCCUGAAUUUUACACGCUGCAGGAAAUCAUAAGUAUCAUGGGAGGAAAAUUUAACACACAGUUGACCUUUAGACUGGAAAAAAAUCUUCUUGUAAUGGGUACAGCAAGACGUGGUGAAACACAGUUCCCUGCUAUGCCUGUUCAGUUACCUGUAGAUUAUAAAACUGUUGCAUCUAUUAUAACUCCGGAAGAAAAGGCUUCUGUUAUGCACAAUGAUAUUAGUUCAGAUUCAAACGCAGAAAAACUUGCUUUGAAAUACUGUCCUCAAGUUGUUUUAAGUAAUCAAUCAUUAUUUGCUUUACUGAAUAAUCACGGACUAAACUACAAGGAACAGUGGGAAAUUCCAGUUUGUAUUAAAAUGAUCCCUGUUGCAGAUAGCAAACCAGCUAAAGUGGUUUAUGUUGACUCACCUCUCCUGAAGAAGGAAAUGACAGUAAGAGAAAGGAACCAAAUCUUCCAUGAAAUUCCAAUGGACUUCCUAGCAACUAAAAAGUCUUAUGUGUCGAUUUCUGAUGUAUUGAUGGACAAACCAGCUGAGGAGAGUAAUUUUCAAUGGGAUAUACCUUCUGACACCUACCAGUGCAGGAAGAUUCCUGUUCCAGAUGACACAGGGAUGGAUUUUGAUGAUGAUGUUACAGAACUAGAAACUUUUGGAGCAGCGGUCAAACUCUCAAAGACCUCUAAAGCAGAAAAUACUUUUCCUAAAGUUGGUAACACUGGUCAAAUUUUGUCACGUGAGCUAAAAACAGACAAAAAAUUAACAUCUGCCAUAAACAAUGGAGGUGAAGAGGGAAGAAACUCUGUUUCUCAGCAAGGAUUUUCAGCCAGCGAAGUGCAGCUUCCAUCAUUUGGCAGUCUGUGCUCCAACCCCGAAGAAAAUUCAUCUCAUAAAAGCUUUCAUUCAGAGGAGGUAGAACUGAACAAAGCGCAGCACGUUGUGACAAAGGAAGUAUCAGACAAUGAAACAAAAUUAAAUACUUUAUCUAACGCUGUUACUUUCAAGAAAGAGUCUGAUGCUGCACAAAAAAAUAAGAGUUGUGCUUCUUUGUGCAGUAGUGACACUGAUGAAGAUCGUUUGGUAAUUGAUACAGAAUGUAAAAGUAUUGAUUAUUGCAAAACAGCUGUACCAAAUACUAUUUCCAGUAGCUCAGCAGAGACUUCCGAAUCACCUUCAUCCAUCCGCGUUGCAUCAGCAAGCGUGACUGAUUCCUCGGAGAGCAUGGAUCAGGGGAAAAAUGCCUCCAGAAAGCCUACAAAAAGAUUGUCCAAAGAAUUUGAUCCUGUUGGACAGAUUCUGAAAAUGCAAACUGAACUUCUCAGGUCACCUUCCCGAAAAGCUCAUGAGCAGCCACUAGUGAGCCUUGAUAGUUCUAACUCUGCACCAACCCACGUGCCUCAGUCUCCAAAAUCAUCGGUCACCUCCAGCACAGAAACUGCGCCAGGCCCUGCCUCAGAUCCCAACAGCUCGUCCAGAAAUACCUGGACGUGGCUUUUCCAGGGCCCUCCAAAGAGAAAGCUGCCAAAUGAACUUGAGAUGCUUGUUGAAGACCCUUCAGAGUAUACAGCACCUCAGGAUGGCAACCUUGUAUAUAAACUAUUCAGUUUGGAUGACCUGUUGUUACUUGUACGUUGCAAUGUGCAAAAAGUAAAGACAAGGCCACGAUCCCAUAAAAAGAAAACAGUCCCAAAGCCUACUCCACUAUUCCUGUUGCCAAAACUAGAAUAUCAAGCCUAUUAUGGUGUCGAAGCUCUUACAGAAAGUGAAGUAUGUCGGUUGUGGACCGAGAGCAUGUUGCAUUCUGAAUGCUCAUUUUAUAUUGGACGUAUUGAUGCUUUUACAUCAAAGCUGAUUAUGCUAGAAAAGAUUUCUCCAGAAAUUUUAAGAGAAAAACUUGGACUAAUUAAGCCUGCAAAUUCAUUAAAUAUACUUCAUCACAUCUUGAAAAAAGUGUCUGCUUUACAGGAGGGCUCUUAUUUAUUGACUCAUGCUGCAGGAGAUUCAUCAGUUGCAAUCUACAAGAGUUCUCUUGACAAGGUGACCAGAGCAUCAUAUAACUUGCAUGAGGCUCACUGUGAUCUGCCUACUGUACCUGCCAGUCUGUCAGUCCCCUGGGUACCGCUAGAUCCCAGCCUCCCUUUACCCUAUCACUUGAGCCAUGGAAGAGUCCCAUGCACCUUUCCACCUGCACCCCAAGAGGCCAUGUGGAAACAGAAGAUGACUGGGGCAAAAGCACACUCGGACACACCCAGCGAGGGAAAGCCAGCAGCUAUGGAAACAAAAGGCAAUCCAGCUCAGCCUGUUAGAAAUGAAGGUGCGGCUGGAAAGAAACCCAAGAACAACUGCAAACAAAGAAUGAAGAUGAAAAAGUGGAAAAUGAAAUAAAAGAAACCUCUGGUGAAGUAGGAAUAGCUAAACCAUGCUGAGGUAUGACGCAAGAAGCUUCCUAAUACAAGAGAGGAAAUUGCUGUUCUCCUUGACUUUGAAGACACCAAAAUGGAUCUUGGGGAUGUUGCCCAAGAGGAGUGAUUUGAAAUAUUAGCACAGGGCCAUGUCGCUUGGUCACUGUUAGUUUUAACAGUAGUAGGGUUUGUGUCUUAGUCUGUUUGUGGAUGCGUUCCAGAUCUGCAUGGAUAUGAAAAGUAAACAGUUUGCUCUUCAUGUGGCAUUAGAAGCAGAAGCAAAACUUGUCCUUUAAGCCUAGCAGCUGGAAGUACAGAGGAACUGGUACCAUGUGACCAAACGUCUACUUCUGUGUUGGCACGUGGGAGUUACCAUCCAACAGCAAGGGACUCAAAUCAACCCAGUGCAGUGAAGUUUAAUAGCAAACGUUGAACCAUUUGAAGAGGUACUUCCUUUGCUGCUUAUUUGCUUUGUCCUGUAUUUUAAAUAGCAGCUUAUCUCCAAAAGAAAACAGAGAUCAGUUCAGACAUGGUCUUUCAGACUAUUUAAUGCUGGUAUCCACUUAAGUUGCCUUUAGUUCUACUAGUGGAAUAAAUUAGAGCAUUUUUUUAAUCUCUCGCCCUAUCUAAGCCUGACCGGAUAUAUAACUUUCUCAAAUAAUUAAAACUUUUGCCUUAUAAUUAACUAUAACUAUGCAUAACUAAGCUCCCUCCUUCUUAAACUAAGUGCAGCCUUUCCUAAAAGGAAGGGCACAGUCCUUACUGAAAGUGCUACCAUUGCUUCGUAUGCCUUCAAAUUUUCUAUGCUAAAAGCAUGUUUUCUCUUUUUUUAGUUGCUGUUAAAGUAUAUUUAGUUUGUUAGCAAGUUUGAAUUCCAUUUCUCUAGGCCAAAAAUAUUAGAUAAAAAUGUUUUCAAAUAUGCAUUGCUAUAUUAUAUAUCCCAGCUUGAAUUUCCUUUUCAAUGUUACAGAACAUGUUUGGGUGGCCAGGUGACAAUCUAGCCAGAGAGCUUUUCAAUUAUACCCUGUCCAGUCUGCAGGUGAAGGAUAGUCAUUGAGGAAAAGCUGAUCACAGCCAUUCUGAGUCUUAUGGGGGUCCUCUGUAGAUAAUCUCAAGGCUGCUCUAACUUGCAACUAAGUCUUCAAGGCAAAAUUGUCCCCAUAAGACUGAAAAGACACCAUUGCCCCAUACCUUGCAGUAUUUUUUUUUUUCCCUUACAAAACUGCAACAAUAAGUUACUGAUUUCUAAGUGGUUUGUAGAAUAAUUUAGUAAUAAAUACUGAACAGUAUUAAUCUUAGCGUAGACUGCAGGGAGUUCAUCAGUAUUGAUACUUAUCUCUUCUGUGGAGUAGUACGCUUACCCAGUGAGCAAAAAGGACACGAAAGCUCCAUUGUUCCUCAAGGCAUCAUGGUCGUUUUGUAUGAAGUGUAACAGUAAAGGUAAUUCAAAGAAAAUUUAACCUUCCUUUUUAUUGUUCAUGAUGAAAAGAUGUCAAUAAAUAUUCAAAGUGUGAUUUUUCUUUUUUUUAAAUCCAAAAUUAGAGGAGGAGAAAAAAGGGGAAAUAAUGUCAUUAAUAAAAGAAAGGUGGGGCUAUUACUCUAGCAGCAUAUUCCCUGAUUCCUUAAACAAAAUGUAGCAGCCGCACCAUUCUGUUUAUUCACAGCAUAUUUUCAGAGGUGCAUGUUCCUUAUUUACGACUGUCCUAAUAGAGUGUGACUGUUUGUUUAAUUUUUCCAUUGGGCAGUAUCCUUGUUCAGAAGAUUCAAAAGGAAAAGUAUAUUCAUGUUGUUGAGCAAAGCAAUAUAAUCUGAUCAAAUAAGCCAGCUCCCUUCAACUUCAGGGCAUCCACGUCAUAGUUACAUGGAUAUGUUCAAAGCAAGUUUUUCUAAAGGUCUGUGAAUGCAUCUCUGUUUCACUAAAACUUACUCAGAGGUCCUUAUCUAAACAGUUUCCACGUAUGCAUGAGAUUUUCUGUGGUAAAGGGGUAUGAAGGGGUGAGGAUGAUGUUCCAUGCCUGUGCCUCAAAAAUAAGCGUGGACACCAUGAGUGCUUCUCAUUUCUUAGUUGCUACCAAAUGAAUAUAAUUCAUGAAGAAGUAGAGCAAGCUCUAUCACUCUAGAUACUGUCAGUAUUGUUUGCACAAAGAUAACAACUCUAAAAAUCUAAAUAAUUGCGAGUUUUAAUAAAUCUUGACAC